UUUGAACGCACAUUGCGCCCAUUAGUAUUCUAUUGGGCAUGCCUGUUCGAGCGUCAUUUUGACCACUUAAGCCUGGCUUAGUGUUGGGAAUCUACGUUUGUAGUUCCUUAAAUCUAGUGGCGGAGCCGCAGUGGCCUCUGAGCGUAGUAAUUUUUUCUCGCUUUGGAAGGUUCUGUAGUUUUUGCCAUAAAACCCCCAAUUUUUUAAGGUUGACCUCGGAUCAGGUAGGAAUACCCGCUGAACUUAAGCAUAUCAAUAAGCGGAGGAAAAGAAACCAACAGGGAUUGCCCUAGUAACGGCGAGUGAAGCGGCAACAGCUCAAAUUUGAAAUCUGGCCCCAGGCCCGAGUUGUAAUUUGUAGAGGAUGCUUUUGGUGCGGUACUUUCCGAGUUCCCUGGAACGGGACGCCUUAGAGGGUGAGAGCCCCGUACGGUUGGAUACCUAGCCUCUGUAAAGCUCCUUCGACGAGUCGAGUAGUUUGGGAAUGCUGCUCAAAAUGGGAGGUAAAUUUCUUCUAAAGCUAAAUACCGGCCAGAGACCGAUAGCGCACAAGUAGAGUGAUCGAAAGAUGAAAAGCACUUUGAAAAGAGGGUUAAAUAGCACGUGAAAUUGUUGAAAGGGAAGGACUUAUGACCAGACUUUUUCUAGGCGGAUCAUCCGGUGUUCUCACCGGUGCACUUCGCCUAGUUAAGGCCAGCAUCGGUUUCCGUAGAGGGAUAAAAGCAGUAGGAAUGUGGCUCCCUCGGGAGUGUUAUAGCCUAUUGUAUAAUACCUUUAUGGGGACCGA
rnacentral:rRNA from 1 species